rnacentral:rRNA from 1 species
CCUACGGGGUGCUGCAGUGGGGAAUAUUGGACAAUGGGCGAAAGCCUGAUCCAGCCAUGCCGCGUGUGUGAAGAAGGCCUUCGGGUUGUAAAGCACUUUCAGUGGGGAAGAAAGCCUUGGGGCUAAUACCCUCGAGGAAGGACAUCACCCACAGAAGAAGCACCGGCUAACUCCGUGCCAGCAGCCGCGGUAAUACGGAGGGUGCGAGCGUUAAUCGGAAUUACUGGGCGUAAAGCGCGCGUAGGCGGUCUGAUAAGCCGGUUGUGAAAGCCCCGGGCUCAACCUGGGAACGGCAUCCGGAACUGUCAGGCUGAGUGCAGGAGAGGAAGGUAGAAUUCCCGGUGUAGCGGUGAAAUGCGUAGAGAUCGGGAGGAAUACCAGUGGCGAAGGCGGCCUUCUGGACUGACACUGACGCUGAGGUGCGAAAGCGUGGGUAGCAAACAGGAUUAGAUACCCUGGUAGUC